UACGAAGGGGGCUAGCGUUGCUCGGAAUUACUGGGCGUAAAGGGAGCGUAGGCGGGUCGUCAAGUUGGGGGUGAAAGCCCAGGGCUCAACCUUGGAACUGCCUUCAAAACUGACGAUCUAGAGUAUGGAAGAGGUAAGUGGAACUCCGAGUGUAGAGGUGAAAUUCGUAGAUAUUCGGAAGAACACCAGUGGCGAAAGCGACUUACUGGUCCAUGACUGACGCUGAGGCUCGAAAGCGUGGGGAGCAAACAGG
rnacentral:rRNA from 1 species